rnacentral:piRNA from 1 species
AGGGAAAGGUUACUGUAAUUCACU